ACAUGAUGUAGUUUUUACCCAAGUUACCACAUAUUGAAGUAGUAGUAUGUACAAAAUUAGGAAAUUGCUCUGUUUUCAUAUAUUGUUAUUAGUCUCAAACAAUCACACAACUAUGUUUGUUUGUGUUGUUACCAUCAUAACAUUUUGCAUAGCUAGAGCAUUACUAGUACCCAUCGGAAUAUGGCCGUUAUCGUUACUGUUUUUCUCAGUCUUCUUUAAUUCUUUCAGUUCUCUCGCCCUCGCUCUCCAGUUCCAGAAAGUUCCAAACAAUGUUUCCAUUUCUUCUAGAGUCUUCCCUUGAGUUUCCGGCAUCAAUGUGUAGAAAAACACCAACGCCACCGCCGCUAAGGCGGCGUACAAGAAGAACGCAGCUCCGAUUGUUAUCGCCUUUUCUAGGGACAAAAACGUCAUUGAAACUACUCCACUUGUUACUCUGUUCACUGCUACCCCUAUACUGCAUCCAGUUGCCCGGAGCCUCAACGGGAAUAUCUCCGAACUGUAAACCCACGUUAUCGGACCCAUACCGAUUGAGAAAAGCGCCACGUAAGCUAACACCAUUGCUAUGCAGAGUGCUAUUGCCCAAAUUAAUUUCUGUUCUGAGUGUUCGAUAAUUGUGAGGCCUGUCGCGAGAAGCACCAACGACGCCACCAUUCCGCCGACACUGGUUAAUAGCAACCGCCGACGACCGGAUCUGUCAAGCAUAAAUGUGGCUACUAGAAUGAACAAUGUUUUGACUACUCCGACGGCGACGGUGCAGAGCAACUUGUCGUGAUCGGACUUGAUCCCGGCUUUUUCAAAAAUCUUCGGGCUGUACAAAACAACAGCGUCAAUUCCACUUGCUUGCUGGAAAAAAUGGAUUCCUACACCGGUGAUUAAGAUGUGUCGGACGGCCGGCGUCGGAGAGAAGACCAAUUCCUUCCAUACGUUAUCUCCUGUAGGGCGUUUUGGUACUUCGACAAUGUCGUCGUUGCAGUUCUCCGGUAUGCCGGCGGCUUGUUUGAUAUCGGCGAGUCUGAAUUGAGCUUCUUGUAAGGAAUCAGAUGUUUUGUUGAGAACUCGCCUUGCAUCGCCGAGUCGACCUUGCAUAACUAACCAACGCGGUGACUCCGGCAUGGCCAGAACACUAACGGCCAAGAAUACCGAUGGGAUUGCUCCGAUUCCGAGCAUGAAUCGCCAACUCAGGUGAGUUGAAAGUUUUGAAAACACCACGUUAGAUACAUAUCCCAUCAAUAUACCGAAAUUAAUGAAUACUUCGGGGAAGGAAGUAAGAAAACCGCGAGAUGACGCCGGCGAGACUUCAGCUGUGUAAACCGGAGCAACCAUGAGAGCGUACCCAACUCCGACUCCGGCGACGAAUCGACCAAACAUGAGAAAGGCGUAAGUUGUAGCAAAACCCAUCAAGAGAGCUCCGGCGAAGAAAAUCGCGGCAGCCACCACCAUAGUGUACCGGCGGCCAAUCCAAUCGGAGGUCCGACCAGCGGCGGCGGAACCAAAGAGCGAGUAAACAUUGAGGAUUCCAACUAGAAUCUCAACUUGUACAUCAGUAAUAUGGAGAUCUUUCUUAAUAUAGAGGAUUGCUCCACUCAUUACACCAAUAUCA
rnacentral:misc_RNA from 1 species